CAGCCGCCGCGGGAAUACAGAGGGUGCGAGCGUUAAUCGGAUUUACUGGGCGUAAAGCGUGCGUAGGCGGCUUCUUAAGUCGGAUGUGAAAUCCCUGAGCUUAACUUAGGAAUUGCAUUCGAUACUGGGAAGCUAGAGUAUGGGAGAGGAUGGUAGAAUUCCAGGUGUAGCGGUGAAAUGCGUAGAGAUCUGGAGGAAUACCGAUGGCGAAGGCAGCCAUCUGGCCUAACACUGACGCUGAGGUACGAAAGCAUGGGGAGCAAACAGGAUUAGAUACCCCCGUAGUCCCUGUCUCUUAUAC
rnacentral:rRNA from 1 species